UACGUAGGUGACAAGCGUUGUCCGGAUUUACUGGGCGUAAAGAGCGCGCAGGCGGUCGUUCAAGUCGAGUGUGAAAGCCCCCGGCUCAACUAGGGAGGGUCACUCGAUACUGAUCGACUCGAAGGCAGGAGAGGGAAGUGGAAUUCCCGGUGUAGUGGUGAAAUGCGUAGAUAUCGGGAGGAACACCAGUGGCGAAGGCGGCUCACUGGACGACUGUUGACGCUGAGGUGCGAAAGCGUGGGGAGCAAACAGG
rnacentral:rRNA from 1 species